GAUGAACGCUGGCGGCGUGCCUAAUACAUGCAAGUCGAGCGAACGGACGAGAAGCUUGCUUCUCUGAUGUUAGCGGCGGACGGGUGAGUAACACGUGGAUAACCUACCUAUAAGACUGGGAUAACUUCGGGAAACCGGAGCUAAUACCGGAUGAUAUUUUGAACCGCAUGGUUCAAUAGUGAAAGACGGUCUUGCUGUCACUUAUAGAUUGAUCCGCGCUGCAUUAGCUAGUUGGUAAGGUAACGGCUUACCAAGGCAACGAUGCAUAGCCGACCUGAGAGGGUGAGCGGCCACACUGGAACUGAGACACGGUACAGACUCCUACGGGAGGCAGCAGUAGGGAAACUGCAGCAAUGGGCGAAAGACUGACGGAGAAACGCCGAGUGAGUGAUGAAGGUAUUCGGAUCGUAAAACUCUGUUAUUAGGGAAGAACAGAUGUGUAAGUAACUGUGCACAUCUUGACGGUACCUAAUCAGAAAGCCACGGCUAACUACGUG
rnacentral:rRNA from 1 species